rnacentral:tRNA from 1 species
AGCCCUGUAAUGUACAGCAUAUAAAAUUGCAAAUUUUAAAGAACGAUUCAAUUUCCGUCGGGGCUU